rnacentral:misc_RNA from 1 species
GUACGCGCUGUGGGCGACUGACUUCUUUCAGCUCCAAACGGCUCUGCUCAGGUACCGUAGACUUCGCCAAUAAAAAUUCAUCAUUCGUUCGUCAGUCGUUUGUGCGCUGGCAUGUAAGUACUCUGGUGACGUCACAGUCUUCGGCACGGCCGACUGAACUUGCUUGUUCUUUUAAAGACAUUUCCAAGAUAAACAUGGCGAGGGAUCGGUACGUCUCGUGCGUUAAUUUUUGUGUGUGCUUGUGCGUUUUUGUGUUCUUUUCCAUUUCUUGUGCCGCUUCAGAUAGCAGUUAUUACUAUUAUAAGACCAUUCCCUUUAGUGACGUAAGCAAUCCUUCAUACUAUGGAGGCUUAGUUCAAUUUGACCAGAUAAGCAGCCAAAGACAUCGUAGAGACUUAGAAAAUCUUUUAGAAUUAAGUACUCAAUCCAGUAAUGUAACGAAAAGUAUAUUACCAGAGAAAAAGCAUCAAGAAAACUCAGCUGAAACAGAGAAAAGUGUAAAUACGAAAGAUUUAAAUGUGAGAGUUAUUCACAACCUCGGAGUUAAUGGUACUGGUCAACGCAAAAACAUCACCGAGUUGCACCAACAGCCUGUUCCGGUUCCUGUCCACAUGGUGAACACGUUAGUAAAUACGCCUUUGAAAAAUUUGACCAUGUUCUUGGGAGAAGCGGAAGAAGAACUUCCAGAUAUAUUGCCGGAUGCGCCGGAUAAUAGUACUCUGGAGUCACAAAACAUCACAAUGAAGACGGAUACACAUAUAUUUUAUAACAGCACCAUAUACAACAAUCCUGACGUAGGAAAAACAUUUUGGGUCGAUUUGUCAAAGAGAUCUGAUGUUAAAGUCAAUGAACUUCUGUCGAACUCUUACAGAAGAGCAGCAACUAUAAAACUGUCAUUUGAUUUUCCAUUCUACGGACAUUAUAUUAAAAAUGUUACUGUGGCCACUGGAGGAUUUUUAUAUACAGGAAAUUACGUACAUUCUUGGUUAGCAGCUACACAGUAUAUCGCCCCAUUAAUGGCUAAUUUCGAUACGUCGCUAUCAAAUGAUAGCUAUAUAAAAUUUGUUGAUAAUGGAACAUCAUUUACAGUAGAAUGGGAAAGAGUAAUAUUGCAAGAUAAACGUAAAGAUGGCGAAUUUACUUUUCAAACGACAUUACACAAAAAUGGAGAUAUAGUGUUUGCUUAUAAGAAUGUCCCUUUAUUAAUUGAAGAUAUCAAUGACGACUUUCAUCCUGUCAAAGUUGGACUUUCUGACGCCUACAUUUUAGAUAGGACGAUAUUUUUUGUAAGGAGAAAAACAAUUUACGAAUAUCACAGAGUUGCGUUUACGAAAGAAGAAAUUAAAAAUUUGACUGCAAUCUACUUAAAAGCUUUACCUACUUGUCUUGAUUUUCACAAUUGCUCAUCGUGCGUGAAUGCUGAACUAAGUCUUGAAUGCAAAUGGUGUCCAACCUUAAAUCAAUGCUCGACUGGCAAAGACAGAAACCGACAGGAAUGGAUUGACAGAGGUUGUGAAGCUAGAAACAUCAGUCAACUAACGAAGUGUGAUGGCAUCUAUGAAGAAAGUGAAUAUAUCAAUAACAGUCCCAAUUACGACGUUGAACGGGGAGACAAUUUUGACAAUGACUAUAUAGGAAAAAUGGCACAGCAAAAUCAGUUAGGGGCAUCCGGAUAUAUAGCUGUUAUAUUUUUAAUAGCUAUGGUGUGCGGGUUUGGUUUUUGGACAGCCUACGCCUAUCGAAAUCCGCAUACAACAAGUGGCCAGAUUCUAAUUCGGAACAGUUACAAGCACAAUAUGGGUAACAAUCACUAACCGAUUUACAUUAGGACAUAUAUAGGCUGUGACAGUCGUUAAUGGUGGAUACGGUGAGUACCGGCCUAGCCAAUGGCGAUGGAGACGUGGUGAAGCUAGGUAUACUGCAGCAACAAUUCAUAUGUGAUAUCAAACUGUAGUGCCUUUAAAGUAUUAACUCAUCAUUCCAUAUUUCGACAUUAUAUUUGCAUUUGAUAAAAUUGUUUACUUUACUAAAGACUCGGUGAACUAUUGCAAAGUGAGUAGUCAUAAUGUAUUCAUCUGAUUAAAUACCUUAUUGUGACAUUUGUGACUAGUAUCAUCUAAUAAAAUGGUAUACUAUGGACA